CAGUGAAAUUGAACUCGCUGUGAAGAUGCAGUGUACCCGCGGCAAGACGGAAAGACCCCGUGAACCUUUACUAUAGCUUGACACUGAACAUUGAGCCUUGAUGUGUAGGAUAGGUGGGAGGCUUUGAAGUGUGGACGCCAGUCUGCAUGGAGCCGACCUUGAAAUACCACCCUUUAAUGUUUGAUGUUCUAACGUUGACCCGUGAUCCGGGUUGCGGACAGUGUCUGGUGGGUAGUUUGACUGGGGCGGUCUCCUCCUAAAGAGUAACGGAGGAGCACGAAGGUUGGCUAAUCCUGGUCGGACAUCAGGAGGUUAGUGCAAUGGCAUAAGCCAGCUUGACUGCGAGCGUGACGGCGCGAGCAGGUGCGAAAGCAGGUCAUAGUGAUCCGGUGGUUCUGAAUGGAAGGGCCAUCGCUCAACGGAUAAAAGGUACUCCGGGGAUAACAGGCUGAUACCGCCCAAGAGUUCAUAUCGACGGCGGUGUUUGGCACCUCGAUGUCGGCUCAUCACAUCCUGGGGCUGAAGUAGGUCCCAAGGGUAUGGCUGUUCGCCAUUUAAAGUGGUACGCGAGCUGGGUUUAGAACGUCGUGAGACAGUUCGGUCCCUAUCUGCCGUGGGCGCUGGAGAACUGAGGGGGGCUGCUCCUAGUACGAGAGGACCGGAGUGGACGCAUCACUGGUGUUCGGGUUGUCAUGCCAAUGGCACUGCCCGGUAGCUAAAUGCGGAAGAGAUAAGUGCUGAAAGCAUCUAAGCACGAAACUUGCCCCGAGAUGAGUUCUCCCUGACUCCUUGAGAGUCCUGAAGGAACGUUGAAGACGACGACGUUGAUAGGCCGGGUGUGUAAGCGCAGCGAUGCGUUGAGCUAACCGGUACUAAUGAACCGUGAGG
rnacentral:rRNA from 1 species